UCCAAUGACAUUUUAUUCACUAUUCAUUCGGAGAAGAUAUGCCGUUGGUUGGGGUGACACAACGGCAUGUGUUGCAGCUCGAUAAGUCGGCCCAGCCAGGCCUUCAACUUACCCAUAUGUAGCUUUAGGUUCAAGUUGGGAAUGGACCAAUACUCGUUUCAAUACCAUGAUUACUUUAGUGGCCUUGUUCAAAAAAGAUAGUAGAAAGAUAGUAUCAAGCA